UACGUAGGUUGCGAGCGUUGUCCGGAUUUACUGGGUGUAAAGGGCGUGUAGGCGGAGAAGCAAGUUGGGAGUGAAAUCUAUGGGCUCAACCCAUAAACUGCUCUCAAAACUGUUUCCCUUGAGUAUCGGAGAGGCAAGCGGAAUUCCUAGUGUAGCGGUGAAAUGCGUAGAUAUUAGGAGGAACACCAGUGGCGAAGGCGGCUUGCUGGACAGUAACUGACGCUGAGGCGCGAAAGCGUGGGGAGCAA
rnacentral:rRNA from 1 species